CGCCUGGGGAGUACGGUCGCAAGAUUAAAACUCAAAUGAAUUGACGGGGGCCCGCACAAGCGGUGGAGCAUGUGGUUUAAUUCGAUGCAACGCGAAGAACCUUACCUACUCUUGACAUCCAGAGAACUUUCCAGAGAUGGAUUGGUGCCUUCGGGAACUCUGAGACAGGUGCUGCAUGGCUGUCGUCAGCUCGUGUUGUGAAAUGUUGGGUUAAGUCCCGCAACGAGCGCAACCCUUAUCCUUGUUUGCCAGCGAGUAAUGUCGGGAACUCCAGGGAGACUGCCGGUGAUAAACCGGAGGAAGGUGGGGACAGCGUCAACUCAUCAUGGCGCUUACGAGGAGGGCUACACACGUGCUACAAGGGCGCAUACUGAGGGCGGCCAACUUGCUAAAGUGUGCGAAUCACAAAAAGUGCGUCGUAGUCCGGAUUGGAGUCUGCAACUCGACUCCAUGAAGUCGGAAUCGCUAGUAAUCGUGGAUCAGAAUGCCACGGUGAAUACGUUCCCGGGCCUUGUACACACCGCCCGUCACACCAUGGGAGUGGGCUGCAAAAGAAGUAGGUAGUUUAACCUUCGGGGGGACGCUUAACACUUUGUGGUUCAUGACUAGGGUGAAGUCGUAACAAGGUAGCGCUAGGGGAACCUGGCGCUGGAUCACCUCCUUA
rnacentral:rRNA from 1 species